ACUUUGGUACCAAUAUCCCAGAACAUUGUCCCGAAAAUGAGUGCUAUAAAGGUUGUGAAGAUAAAUCUGACUGCAGUGUAAGCCGGAUUACGCCAAUAUGACCAGUGUUGUUUCCAGAGGCAAGCCAUACACUGGGUCCAAAAAGGCUGUGAGAAUUCAGAAUCAAAAUGCAGGUCACUUGUACCAGGUCGUCUUCCAUAGACAAGCCAUACAUUGGGUCCAAAAUGACUGAGAGAAUUCAGAAUCAAAAUGCAGGUCACUUGUACCAGGUUGUGGCAUGCUUAGUUCAUCAAUCAAGGCUUUGUUUCUCCUGUAGAGGUCUGACUUCUUGUACAAUUCAGUAAAAUCAACUCCUAAUGCCAUUUCUUGUGAUGAGGCUGUGACUUCUAACAUCCAAGUUGCUGGAUUGUAACCUUCCACUAUUUUGCUUAC
rnacentral:lncRNA from 1 species